UUGUUGGAUCUAGUUAAUCCAACGGCUCGAAACUAAGGAGCCCUUUACUAUAUCACUUUCCGAUGAAUGAACCCCCCCCCCGCCCCCCAAUCGAACCCUUUCACUUCCAUCUCCUUCCUUAUACACAAAUGAAACCCUAGCUGCCCCUUUAUUCCCUUGCCUCUCCACCGUGAACCACCCAUCGAAAAUCUCCCACGGUGGGACUGGUACACAAAACAUCUCUAACUUAACACCAUGAAACACCCACAAACUCCUAAUUCCAAAUCUCCAAUCCCAUUCCUUCGAAUCAUUGCCGAGUUCUUCGAAUCUUAAAUCGAAAAUCACGACCAAAACUCUAACUGUUCCAAACUCCACCAAAAUCACAUCCCAUAGCCCUCAACCUCCCAUCACCACUACCCUACCCUCAAUUUCCCAAAAGGACCUGCCUAUACUUUCGAAUCUUAAAUACAAGAGCCUUGAAACCUAACUUUUUCCCUCUUCUGAUCCUCGGUCAUUGUUUGGGUUGUUGAACCCCAAUCUUUCAUUAGUCAGCUAUUCUUGGUGAGAAAAGUCGAUUAAUGUUAGUUGGGGUUCGCAUUUCUUUGAGGAUUUGGUCAAAAUUUGUAGCUAGUCUGGUCUUCUAAAAAUAAACAAAUUUAGGUAAUUCUUUUCACUCUCACUUUUGUUAUUGUUUCCUCUCCUUGCAUGUUUAGUUUUCUUGUUUAGACACAUGAUUUAGAUUUUCUUUUCCUCUCUCUUCUUUGACCGUUAGUUUGACUUCAGGUAUCUAUCUUGUUAGAGUAAUUAAAGCAUGUUCAAAAUCUCAUCAUUAGAAAUUCAAUUUGUUUAGGUUCAGGUUUAUUUAGGUUUUACUGUUUAGGUUUCUCGUAAUUUGUUCAUUUUGGCUUUUCCUCUUGUAUUUUCUUAUUUUUAGGUUUGUUUCAAUGUUUAGUUAACUAAGAUAAUGUUAAGAGUUAAUUGAUUGCUUAUUUGAUCAAUUCUUGAUUCGCUUAGGCCAGGCCUAAUUCAAUCCGUUUAAUUGAAGCUUGUUAAGUUUGAUCUCCAUGUUUUCUUUGCAUAAGCAUUAUGGAUUCUUGAUAGUUUGUUUUAUUACAAGUUAAAUACACUGUUAGUCUAGGAUUAGUUGUUUAAAAUAUGUCCUUUGUAUUUAGACCCUUGAUGCCAUUAAGAUUAGGAUUGAUUUUGGGAUUAAAAGAACCCCUCAAAUAAUGCUUAGGAUGGUCCUUAAAAGUCUUUAAAAUUAGAAUAAGAUCAUAUUUGGUUAUAAUUUGAAUAGGCAGCAACCUAAAGGCUAGAAUGAGAUUUUUACUUAGGCUAAAAAAUAAGAAAUGUACAGCUGUCCUAGCUGUUAUAAAAGAUACUGAAAUAUAGGACAACUGUUCCAAGGGCUGCAAAAAGGACAGUACUAUUUAUUCCCUAGGAUAAGAAAUAUAUCCAAGAUAUACAAUCCCUAGGAAGACUAUAUAUAAGUAGGUCCUCUCAAUCUGAUGGACACACACAUUCAGCCUUAUUUUCUGCACAAAAACUCUAUUUUCAUUCCUGAAAAGUUCAAAUUCCAGAAAUCAUUGAAAACUUAAAAACCUCUGAUUUUCUGAUUCUUUACAAGUUAAAAAUAUGGUGUAAAGUGGAGAUUUCCCUGUUUUCUUUUAGCUAGUUUCUGGUUUCAAAGCUUUUCUUCAUUUGGUUUGGGGUUUACUGUUGUGUUUGGUUGGCUGUUGCUGCCGGAUUUUUGUCACUUUCUCUUUGGAUUUGGGGACUUUAUUUGGUUCCUUUUUCUUCUGUUCAUUUGCCUUUAGGUAGGUAACCUUAUUCUGACUAUGAAUGAAUCUAUAUGUACAAAUCUAAACCCAUCCUGUCUAUAUGUGUGUUGCUGUUUGACUCAAUCAUAGAAAUACUUUCUUUAUCAGCUUUGUCUUGUAUUUUUAUAUGCAUUUCCGUGGAAAAUGUUUUUAUAACUAUACAAAUAGCUUUGCUUCAUAACAACAUUUAGGUUUGAUGAUUAUGAUUUAUUUGCGUUAUGCUUUCCUUCUCUCCUUCAUCGAAUUUCUUUACUUAAAACAUUGUUUUUCUCUUUCUUUGAUUGUUUGGGCCAUGAGCUAUAGCCUGCUGAUUUAGCCACUGAUUGGUUAAAUCAGUAGGUUCAAAAGCCUUAAAGUGGGACUCACACUAUUCUUUUAACAAAGGAAUACCAAGCUCUCAUGGACAAGCCAUGUCCAAAAGAGGCAGGAAUCCUCUACUAGUUAUGCAAGUUUGUAGUAGUUUUAGCCUAAAGUGUAGUUAGUAGAGUAGUUGUUGAUUGGAUUGUCAUUUGGAAUACUUUUCAAGGAAACAGUAUUUUGGUUUAACAGCAAUGCAAAAGUCUGUUUAUUGCUAUAAAAAUUGCCAUUUGUACUCAGAUUUUAUAAUAAAUGGACUGUUAAAGAACUUGGUUAAAUAUGCUAUAUUUGUAAGUUCCAACUUACGUUUUGUAUAUUGGGUUUCAAUUAAUGCAUCUAAGUGUAUAUUCAUCAUGGCAUGAAUUGGUAUAUAGUGAAAAUUUGAGGUUUAAUUCUUGUUAACAGCAUUGGUUUAAAUUAGAUAUCUUGUGUUGAUUUUUUAGUUAUAUGAAGGGAAUUCAAUGUUUGGUUUGGGCUUGGCUAAAGUCUAGGCAAGGUAUCCUGGUGGAAACUUCGGUUGGGCUGCCUUCAUCCGAAUUUACUCCUUGUCUUUGGGCUCAACUUCAGGCCCAAACGACCUUGAGCUCUUGUUCCAUUUCUUCAACAUGAUAAAUAGGUGUCCUUGUUUGGGAAUUGGGCUGGAAAUCGGCCCAAUUAAAAGACCAUGCCAUGGCUAGUCAGCUAUUUUCCUUUGGUCCCCUGGUUAUAUAUUCUUACAAGUAAUAGUUAUAUAUUUUAAGUUCAACCAUUUGUAAUUAAUAUUUACAUGUCAUGUGUAGUAUAUUUAAUAUUCAAUUUGAGCUGUGUUUUAAAUCGGAAUUUCCUCAAUUUAAAAAGAAAGUUCACUUGUAGCUCGUGAUUUAUGUG
rnacentral:lncRNA from 1 species